AGUGAACGCUGGCGGUAGGCCUAACACAUGCAAGUCGAACGGCAGCACAGUAAGAGCUUGCUCUUACGGGUGGCGAGUGGCGGACGGGUGAGGAAUACAUCGGAAUCUACUUUUUCGUGGGGGAUAACGUAGGGAAACUUACGCUAAUACCGCAUACGACCUACGGGUGAAAGCAGGGGAUCUUCGGACCUUGCGCGAUUGAAUGUGCCGAUGUCGGAUUAGCUAGUUGGCGGGGUAAAGGCCCACCAAGGCGACGAUCCGUAGCUGGUCUGAGAGGAUGAUCAGCCACACUGGAACUGAGACACGGUCCGGACUCCUACGGGAGGCAGCAGUGGGGAAUAUUGGACAAUGGGCGCAAGCCUGAUCCAGCCAUACCGCGUGGGUGAAGAAGGCCUUCGGGUUGUAAAGCCCUUUUGUUGGGAAAGAAAAGCAGCAGGUUAAUACCCCGCUGUUCUGACGGUACCCAAAGAAUAAGCACCGGCUAACUUCGUG
rnacentral:rRNA from 1 species